AUUUAACACUAAAUAUUGAUAUCUGUGAAUACCUUAGUUAGUUACCUGCUAAAAAAAGAAGGUAAUAAUGUCGCAGUACUUUUUCUUUUUUCAGCUAAAGACCGGGUUCUUUGUCCCAUUGGCCACAAAAAUUCAGGCUCACAGACAAUUUGAAUGCACUUUGAAGACUGAGAGAAGCCGUUUGAGCACAAGUAGUUAAAUUGAAUGCAGUUGUCAUGAGGUUUCAGCCAAUCCCACAAGAGCUCUGAAAGGGAGAUUGCAUUUCAGACAAGCUCCAAAUUGAGGCAGGAGGACUGGGCCUUUGCACUCCUGCCUUAGGUGGUUAUUGGAUACAGGCUUUCCUUGGAAGAAGGCGUGCUCUUGAUGAGGACUCAGCUGAGAGCCAUCAACAGGCUACACUACCAACCGAUGUGGGGACAACUGCCUUUGACCCUUAAAGGGGGCAUGGCCCCCAGAGCAUAGGCUCUGACAGACAAGAGCAAUACUUUCAAAGGAAAGAGGGAAGCAAGAGGGAAACCCAACAUCUGAUGCAGUUUCUACAGAAGUUCCCAGACAAUCUGAAAUGAGGUAAGGUAAUUUGUGCCUUUAUUGUUCAGUAUCUAAUAAUCACUGGAAGUCAGCAACAUCACUUUGGG
rnacentral:lncRNA from 1 species